CCGAAUGCAACCGCGAGGAACGCCGUAGGAAUAAUGGACGGCGGGUGGGUCGCGCUUUCCUCCGCAGUCCUCUUCCUCCCUUCGGCUUCUCCCGCCUCGUCCUCCAAGUUCCGCACCCUCUCGCCACAAGCAAGCAAGCGUGAUCGAAGCGAUGCCACUGCUACCACCACCGCCCUUUGGCUCGUCGCCCAGAACUCAGUGGGCGUCCUAAGAAAUGUUGUUUCAUCUGAUGAUGAACUACUUGGUGAAGGCUGCAGCAUCUCCAACUUGUAUUUGACAACACUCGAUCCAACUGCCAGGAUGCACUGAUAGAUGUGAAGGUCAUCUUUCACCCUUAGUUAAGUUCCCACUCAGAUCUUGCACCAAGAUAGAUCCGGAAAACCCUACCAGUGCAAAACUUACACUCACAGGAAAGUUGCAGUGAUAGGGUGGCAGUGAAAGCAGCUAAGCUAACAUGAGGAAAGAUAUGUUUGCUUACAUUUUACUUAAAAGAGUUGCUGGCUGAACUGAAAAUUCCAUAUUAUCUCAAACCUUCAAGAAGAAUGCUUGAAUAAAACACAAGAGAUCUUUAAACCUAUGCACUAA